GAUUGAACGCUGGCGGUAUGCUUAACACAUGCAAGUCGAACGGAAACGAUACUAGCUUGCUAGUAGGCGUCGAGUGGCGGACGGGUGAGUAACGCGUAGGAAUCUGCCUGAUAGUGGGGGAUAGCCCGAAGAAAUUCGGAUUAAUACCGCAUAAUCUAUUCGUAGUAAAGUGGGGGACUUUCGAGCCUCACGCUAUCAGAUGAGCCUGCGUAAGAUUAGCUUGUUGGUAGGGUAAAAGCCUACCAAGGCGACGAUCUUUAGCUGGUCUGAGAGGAUGAUCAGCCACAUCGGGACUGAGACACGGCCCGAACUCCUACGGGAGGCAGCAGUGGGGAAUAUUGGACAAUGGGGGCAACCCUGAUCCAGCAAUACCGCGUGUGUGAAGAAGGCCUGAGGGUUGUAAAGCACUUUCAAUUGUGAAGAAAAGUUAGCGGUUAAUAACCGUUAGCCUUGACGUUAACUUUAGAAGAAGCACCGGCUAACUCCGUGCCAGCAGCCGCGGUAAUACGGAGGGUGCAAGCGUUAAUCGGAAUUACUGGGCGUAAAGCGUGCGUAGGCGGUUUAUUAAGUCAGAUGUGAAAGCCCCGGGCUUAACCUGGGAACUGCAUUUGAAACUGGUCAACUAGAGUAUGGUAGAGGAAAGUGGAAUUUCUGGUGUAGCGGUGAAAUGCGUAGAUAUCAGAAGGAACAUCAAUGGCGAAGGCAGCUUUCUGGACCAAUACUGACGCUGAGGUACGAAAGCGUGGGUAGCAAACAGGAUUAGAUACCCUGGUAGUCCACGCCGUAAACGAUGAUAACUAGCCGUUGGGGGGAUUUACCCCUUAGUGGCGAAGCUAACGCGUUAAGUUAUCCGCCUGGGGAGUACGGCCGCAAGGUUAAAACUCAAAGGAAUUGACGGGGACCCGCACAAGCGGUGGAGCAUGUGGUUUAAUUCGAUGCAACGCGAAGAACCUUACCUGGUCUUGACAUCCUGCGAACUUUCUAGAAAUAGAUUGGUGCCUUCGGGAACGCAGUGACAGGUGCUGCAUGGCUGUCGUCAGCUCGUGUCGUGAGAUGUUGGGUUAAGUCCCGUAACGAGCGCAACCCCUAUCCUUAUUUGCCAGCACAUCAUGGUGGGAACUAUAAGGAGACUGCCGGUGAUAAACCGGAGGAAGGCGGGGACGACGUCAAGUCAUCAUGGCCCUUACGACCAGGGCUACACACGUGCUACAAUGGGAAGGACAAAGAGCCGCGAAGCCGCGAGGUGUAGCUAAUCUCAUAAACCUUUUCGUAGUCCGGAUUGGAGUCUGCAACUCGACUCCAUGAAGUCGGAAUCGCUAGUAAUCGUAGAUCAGAAUGCUACGGUGAAUACGUUCCCGGGUCUUGUACACACCGCCCGUCAA
rnacentral:rRNA from 1 species